rnacentral:rRNA from 1 species
AAAAAGGGAGAAUACUAACAGGAUUUUCUUAGUAGCGGCGAGCGAAAAGAAAUCAGUUCAGCACUAAGUCACUUUGUCUUUAUGGCAAAUGUGAGAUGCAGUGUAUGGAAUGUCAAAUUUCUAGUAUGAGAAAUUAACGAUUUAAGUCCUUCUUAAAUGAGGCCAUUUACCCAAAGAGGGUGCCAGGCCCGUAUAACGUUAAUGAUUACUAGAUGACAUUUCCAAAGAGUCGUGUUGCUUGAUAGUGCAGCACUAAGUGGGUGGUAAACUCCAUCUAAAACUAAAUAUAACCAUGAGACCGAUAGUAAACAAGUACCGUGAGGGAAAGUUGAAAAGAACUCUGAAUAGAGAGUUAAAUAGUACGUGAAACUGCUUAAAGGUUAAGCCCGAUGAACCUGAGUAUCCUUUAUGGAAAAUUCAUCAUAAGGAGCUUACUAGUAUUAAGAUUAGAAUGGGGUUGGGCAUUUAUUCCUUGUAUGAGGGUUAAAAUCCAUAAAUAGAUGAAAAUUCAUAUAAAUAUAACCAUGAGACCGAUAGUCAACAGGUACCGUGAGGGAACGUUGAAAAGAACUCUGAAUAGAGAGUUAGUUAGUACGUGAAACUGCUUCCAGGUUAAGCCCGAUGAACCUGAGUAUCGUUAUGUAAAAUUCAUGAUAAGGAGCUUACUCGUAUUAAGAUUAGAAUGGUGUUGGGGAUUUAUUCAUUGUAUGACGGUUAAGAUCCAUAAAUAGAUGUAAAUUGAUA